rnacentral:rRNA from 1 species
GACGAACGCUGGCGGCGUGCUUAACACAUGCAAGUCGAACGAUGAAGCUGGAGCUUGCUCCGGUGGAUUAGUGGCGAACGGGUGAGUAACACGUGAGCAAUCUGCCCUUGACUCUGGGAUAACUGCGGGAAACUGUAGCUAAUACCGGAUACUUUCACUGGAAGGCAUCUUCUGGUGAAGAAAGAAUUUCGGUCAAGGAUGAGCUCGCGGCCUACCAGCUUGUUGGUGAGGUAACGGCGCACCAAGGCGACGACGGGUAGGCGGCCUGAGAGGGUGACCGGCCACGCUGGGACUGAGACACGGCCCAGACUACUCAGGGAGGCAGCAGUGGGGAAUAUUGCACAAUGGGCGCAAGCCUGAUGCAGCAACGCAGCGUGAGGGAUGAAGGCCUUCGGGUUGUAAACCUCUUUUAGCAGGGAAGAAGCGAAAGUGACGGUACCUGCAGAAAAAGCACCGGCUAACUACGUGCCAGCCGCCGCGGUAA